AACGCUAGCUACAGGCUUAACACAUGCAAGUCGAGGGGAAACGACAUCGAAAGCUUGCUUUUGAUGGGCGUCGACCGGCGCACGGGUGAGUAACGCGUAUCCAACCUGCCCAUCACUUGGGGAUAACCUUGCGAAAGUAAGACUAAUACCCAAUGACGUCUCUAGAAGACAUCUGAAAGAGAUUAAAGAUUUAUCGGUGAUGGAUGGGGAUGCGUCUGAUUAGCUUGUUGGCGGGGUAACGGCCCACCAAGGCUACGAUCAGUAGGGGUUCUGAGAGGAAGGUCCCCCACAUUGGAACUGAGAUACGGUCCAAACUCCUACGGGAGGCAGCAGUGAGGAAUAUUGGUCAAUGGACGAGAGUCUGAACCAGCCAAGUAGCGUGCAGGAUGACGGCCCUAUGGGUUGUAAACUGCUUUUAUAAGGGAAUAAAGUGAGUCUCGUGAGACUUUUUGCAUGUACCUUAUGAAUAAGGACCGGCUAAUUCCGUGCCAGCAGCCGCGGUAAUACGGAAGGUCCGGGCGUUAUCCGGAUUUAUUGGGUUUAAAGGGAGCGUAGGCCGGAGAUUAAGCGUGUUGUGAAAUGUAGAUGCUCAACAUCUGCACUGCAGCGCGAACUGGUUUCCUUGAGUACGCACAAAGUGGGCGGAAUUCGUGGUGUAGCGGUGAAAUGCUUAGAUAUCACGAAGAACUCCGAUUG
rnacentral:rRNA from 1 species